rnacentral:tRNA from 1 species
GGGGCCGUAGCUCAGUGGUAGAGCAGUCGCCUCUUAAGCGAUUGGUCGAUGGUUCGAAUCCAUCCGGCCUCA